GCUGUACCAACUGAAAGAAACUAGUCUGUGGGCUGCUCGCCUCUGGCUCGCUUUCACCUGACUCCUGGGGUCUGCGUGGUGACUCCGAGCCUCUUGCCCCCACCACGCUUCUCCUCUCAGAAGAAAUCAACCUCAACAGGGAUGCCUCGGUGGCUCCUCAGGCUAGAAUUCUAAGUUGGCUUUCACUGCUUAGCAUCUACCAGCGCUGCUCCGUUUCUACCUCUGUUGCCUCGGGGAGGUUGUUCUGCUGGACUCAGGAUUUUGGACCUAAACUUCAGUAUGGAUUACUUGGCGAGUGUCCAGGCCCCCUUUGAGCCACGUGUUAUGAGAGAACAUCACCACAAUUCUGAUGUCCCUUCGCUGGAUUACCAGCAAUCCAGGGAACUGUCCACCGUGGUGGAGUUCACAGAUGUGACUGCUUUGGCAGAUCCCCUGGAUCAAAGGUCUGUAUGACACUGACCACUCACUGGGGCUAUAUUGACGGGGGAGGGCACCAGGACUUUAAUCGACAACAGGAGGUUGCUAGGGUUAAGGAGGUUCUCAAGGACCUGGGAGAAAACUUGUCACCAAUAACCACUCAGUGGCGACCCUUGCCACCUCUCCCACAGAGACCCAACCCACUUCACCUCCUGUGCCCUGACUGGCUGUCGUACAUCUCUUCUGUCUACCAGCUCCUCAACUCUUGUGAUAGCUCUCUGGCUGAUGGUUGCUGGAUUUGUUGCACCCUGCUGCCUUCCUUUACAACUUUCGAAGUCCCAACAAAGUCUACUCCUGGACCCACUGAUGAGACAACUUUUCUCUUACUUACUAAUCUCCCUCACCCAAAAAACCUACACCAGUGCUUCAGUCUAACCUCAUCAUUA